rnacentral:lncRNA from 1 species
UUCCUCCUCCAAACCCUAACGUUUCUCUCUUUUCUUCUCUUUUCUCCUCCUUCUCUCUACUUCUUUCUAUUUCCCUUCUUUCUAUUUCUCUUCUUUCUAUUUCUAUUCUAUUUCUAUUCUUUGUUUUAAUUAAAUAAAAACUAACUAAUGGGCUUAAUUGUUACACCUCCCUUAAUUACUAUAUACACCACUAGGCCCAAUAGCUAUUAUACCAC